rnacentral:rRNA from 1 species
AAUCAACGCUGGCGGCGUGCCUCAGACAUGCAAGUCGAACGCGAAAGUCCCUUCGGGGACAAGUAGAGUGGCGCACGGGUGAGUAACACGUAGGUAAUCCACCUUCGGAUGGGGAAUAACAACCGGAAACGGUUGCUAAUACCGCAUAAUGCAGCGGCACCUAAUGGUGACAGUUGUUAAAGCGGGGGAUCGAAAGACCUCGCGUCUGAAGAGGAGCCUGCGGCGGAUUAGCUAGNGGUAAGGUAACGGCUUACCAAGGCGACGAUCCGUAGCCGGCCUGAGAGGGCGGUCGGCCACACUGACACUGACAUACGGGUCAGACUCCGUACGGGAGGCAGCAGUCGGGAAUUUUGGCAAUGGGCGAAAGCCUGACCCAGCAACGCCGCGU